rnacentral:rRNA from 1 species
UGGGGAAUUUUGCACAAUGGGGGAAACCCUGAUGCAGCGACGCCGCGUGAUUUAGAAGGCCUUCGGGUUGUAAAAAUGUUUUCUAUGGGAAGAAAAUGACAGUACCAUAGGAAUAAGGACCGGCUAAGUACGUGCCAGCAGCCGCGGGAAGACGUAAGGUCCGAGCGUGGUCCGGAAUCAUUGGGCGUAAAGGGUACGUAGGCGGGUAAGCAAGUUAGAAGUGCAAUCCUAUAGCUCAACUAUAGUAAGCUUUUAAAACUGAUCAUCUUUAGCUAUGGCAGGUACAGUGGAAUUCCUAGUGUAGCGGUGAAAUGCGCAGAUAUUAGGAGGAAUACCGGUGGCGAAGGCGACUUUCUGGCCAUAACCUGACGCUGAGGUACGAAAGCGUGGGUAGCAAACAGG